AACGAACGCUGGCGGCAUGCCUAACACAUGCAAGUCGAACGAGACCUUCGGGUCUAGUGGCGCACGGGUGCGUAACGCGUGGGAACCUGCCCUUAGGUUCGGAAUAACUCCCCGAAAGGGGUGCUAAUACCGGAUAAUGUCUUCGGACCAAAGAUUUAUCGCCUUUGGAUGGGCCCGCGUUGGAUUAGCUAGCUGGUAGGGUAAAAGCCUACCAAGGCGACGAUCCAUAGCUGGUCGGAGAGGAGGAUCGGCCACACUGGGACUGAGACACGGCCCAGACUCGUACGGGAGGCAGCAGUGGGGAGUAUUGGAGGAGGGGCGAAAGCCUGAUCCAGCAAGGCCGCGUGAGUGAUGAAGGCCUUAGGGUUGUAAAGCUCUUUUACCCGGGAUGAUAAUGACGGUACCGGGAGAAUAAGCUCGGGCUAACUCCGUG
rnacentral:rRNA from 1 species